UACGUAGGGUGCGAGCGUUGUCCGGAUUUAUUGGGCGUAAAGAGCGUGUAGGCGGUUAGGUAGGUCCGUUGUGAAAACUCGAGGCUCAACCUCGAGACGCCGAUGGAAACCAUCUGACUAGAGUCCGGAAGAGGAGAGUGGAAUUCCUGGUGUAGCGGUGAAAUGCGCAGAUAUCAGGAAGAACACCCGUGGCUAAGGCGGCUCUCUAGUACGGUACUGACGCUGAGACGCGAAAGCGUGGGGAGCGAACAGG
rnacentral:rRNA from 1 species